UGCAUUCAUGUUUCGAGACAAGGCGCUCAUCUCUCCCUUCUUUGGAAUCUUAAGUCCCUUCAUCUUACUCCAUAUCUUAGCCAGUCGUUUGUAUUCCUCCAUCAUAUCCAUUACCUCAUGCACUUGGCGGCCGGAACCCCUAGCUAUCCGCAUAAUUCGGGAGUCGGUCAUAAGCUUAGGGUUGGAACUAUCCAAUUCUUCAUUAGUCAUUGAGUCCAUCAUUGUCAUGUAUCGUUUAAUUUUUGCCUGGCUUUCAUUUUCACGUCCUUUUGGCAUCAACUCUGCACUGAAUCCUGGAAGCAUGGAAAAGACCUGGCCAAUGG
rnacentral:misc_RNA from 1 species